rnacentral:rRNA from 1 species
UACGUAGGUGACAAGCGUUGUCCGGAUUUACUGGGCGUAAAGAGCGCGCAGGCGGUCGUUCAAGUCGAGUGUGAAAGCCCCCGGCUCAACUGGGGAGGGUCACUCGAUACUGAUCGACUCGAAGGCAGGAGAGGGAAGUGGAAUUCCCGGUGUAGUGGUGAAAUGCGCAGAUAUCAGGAGGAACACCGAUGGCGAAGGCAGGUCUCUGGGCCACUACUGACGCUGAGAAGCGAAAGCAUGGGGAGCGAACAGG